rnacentral:rRNA from 1 species
UACAGAGGGUGCAAGCGUUAAUCGGAAUUACUGGGCGUAAAGGGCAUGUAGGUGGGUAUUUAAGUCGAUUGUGAAAGCCCCGAGCUUAACUUGGGAACUGCAGUCGAUACUGAAUACCUAGAGUAUGGUAGAGGGAAGUGGAAUUUCCGGUGUAGCGGUGAAAUGCGUAGAUAUCGGAAGGAACACCAGUGGCGAAGGCGGCGCUCUGGGCCGGAACUGACGCUGAGGAGCGAAAGCGUGGGUAGCAAACAGG